GACGAACGCUGGCGGCGUGCCUAAUACAUGCAAGUAGAACGCACAGUUUAUACCGUAGCUUGCUACACCAUAGACUGUGAGUUGCGAACGGGUGAGUAACGCGUAGGUAACCUGCCUGGUAGCGGGGGAUAACUAUUGGAAACGAUAGCUAAUACCGCAUAAUAUUGAUUAUUGCAUGAUAAUUAAUUGAAAGGUGCAAUUGCACCACUACCAGAUGGACCUGCGUUGUAUUAGCUAGUAGGUGAGGUAACGGCUCACCUAGGCGACGAUACAUAGCCGACCUGAGAGGGUGAUCGGCCACACUGGGACUGAGACACGGCCCAGACUCCUACGGGAGGCAGCAGUAGGGAAUCUUCGGCAAUGGACGAAAGUCUGACCGAGCAACGCCGCGUGAGUGAAGAAGGUUUUCGGAUCGUAAAGCUCUGUUGUAAGAGAAGAAUGGGUGUGAGAGUGGAAAGUUCACACUGUGACGGUAUCUUACCAGAAAGGGACGGCUAACUACGUG
rnacentral:rRNA from 1 species